CCUACGGGUGGCAGCAGUGGGGAAUAUUGCACAAUGGGGGAAACCCUGAUGCAGCGACGCCGCGUGAGUGAAGAAGUAAUUCGUUAUGUAAAGCCCUAUCAGCAGGGAAGAAAAUGACGGUACCUGAGUAAGAAGCCCCGGCUAACUACGUGCCAGCAGCCGCGGGCAUCCGUCGGGGGCCGGCGGUAAUCGGAUUUACUGGGGGUAAAGGGAGCGUAGACGGCAGUGCAAGUCUGGAGUGAAAGGCGGGGGCUCAAACCCCGGACUGCUCUGGAAACUGGAUGGCUGGAGUGCAGGAGAGGUAAGUGGAAUUCCUAGUGUAGCGGUGAAAUGCGUAGAUAUUAGGAGGAACACCAGUGGCGAAGGCGGCAUACUGGACUGUAACUGACGUUGAGGCUCGAAAGCGUGGGGAGCAAACAGGAUUAGAUACCCGAGUAGUC
rnacentral:rRNA from 1 species